ACAUGGCCCUCAUUUGCGGCUUCUCUUGGGGACCGCAUUUAUCUUUUCCCGGCUGCCCUGAUGGGAAGACUUUCCCUAGAAGGAGAUCUAUGCCAGAGUCAAGCAUUCUGAAGGAAAGGCUGCUGUCCCCCCGGGGAAGUGACAACUCCCGGAGCGUUGCAUUGACACACACACACACACGCACAUACACAUACACAUACAUGCACACACACGUACGCACACACGUGCACGUACACGUACACACACAUGCACACACACUCACACACACACACUCACACGGUCAGAUGUGACUCUGUCUCAUAUGAAGAAAGAAGUUACGGGUUAUCGAGCACUUGUCUUUCCUCCGUGUGCAGAGUUGGGAGCGGUGGUGAGGACAAGAAGUUCCUGUCUGGGCUCCUUGCGUCCCAGUGGGUGAGGCUUUGUCCCUGGCUUUUUUUUCCAACUUGUGUGUGAAGAGGAGGAAGAGAGACUCCUUCGUCAGCCACACAGUCUUGCUGUCACAUACCUUGUGUGUUGUUGGCUCGAAAUUAGAGAACUCCAAACUCGGAUGUCUUCAUUCUCCAACAGAAGAGGGGUCAGGUCGGGGUGCAGGAGCAGGAAGGAGCUCUUUGAACUGACAACAGGAUGCACAGCCCUUCGUAGUGGCCCAAGCUACAGGAGCAAGACUUUGUUCAGAUCGAAUUUGAUCUGGUGCGAUUGUUUAAAUGCCACCGCCAUGGUCAAAGCGGUCUCCGUUUGGCUAAUAAAUCACACGCAUUGCCCUGCA